UUCAAGAGUACGUGAAACCGUUCAGGGGUAAACCUGAGAAACCCGAASAGGUCGAAUGGGGAAAUUCAUUCGCGUUUCGAUAGUCGGCGUUAUGCUSGUUGCGUGACUGACGGGGUACGCUUCGUUAGCACCAUCAGUAUUUCGASACCGACUUCGAACGCGUGCACUUUUCCCCUAGUAGGACGUCGCGAUCCSGUUGGGUGUCGAUCUAAGGCUUGUGGUGGAGCUCGCGCGUGAACGUUUCGGCGUUUCGUACGAACCCACAAUGUCCCGAUCGACUCACUCGACGGUSAUAAAGAUGGCGCGGGGCCGCUACACAGUUAGCGUUCGGCCUACGGCASAGCACGUACGGUGUUUGAUGGCGAUCAGACCUAGUCGGAUCCCGUCCCSCGGACGACUGUUGGCAUGUAGUGUUCUCGAACAGACCUCGUUGAAACGSCCGAUCUGCGACGCUAUAGCUUUGGGUACUUUCAGGACCCGUCUUGA
rnacentral:rRNA from 1 species